rnacentral:rRNA from 1 species
UUCGAUUCUGGCUCAGGAUGAACGCUGGCGGCGUGCCUAAUACAUGCAAGUCGAACGGGGUGGAUGGGAGCUUGCUCCUUGAUACCUAGUGGCGAACGGGUGAGUAACACGUAGGUAACCUGCCUUUAGCUUGGGAUACCCAGAGGAAACUUUGGCUAAUACCGGAUAACAACAGAAGAGGCAUCUCUUUUGUUUGAAAGGCCCUUUACGGGGUCACUAGAAGAUGGACCUGCGGCGCAUUAGCUAGUUGGUGAGAUAACAGCCCACCAAGGCGAGGAUGCGUAGCCGACCUGAGAGGGUGAUCGGCCACAUUGGAACUGAGACACGGUCCAAACUCCUACGGGAGGCAGCAGUAAGGAGUUUUCGGCAAUGGGGGAAACCCUGACCGAGCAACGCCGCGUGAGUGAAUGACGGCCCUAUGGGUUGUAAAGCUCUGUUGUAAGGGACGAAUGGAUAGCUUAGGAAAUGAAGCUAUCUUGACGGUACCUUACCAGAAAGCCACGGCUAACUACGUGCCAGCCGCCGC